rnacentral:rRNA from 1 species
GCAAGUCUGGUGCCAGCAGCCGCGGUAAUUCCAGCUCCAAUAGCGUAUAUUAAAGUUGUUGCAGUUAAAAAGCUCGUAGUUGAAUUUCGGGAUCAAUAUUUCGGUCAUGCCGUUGGUAUGCACUGUUAUCAUUGAUUUCUCACCUCCUAAAGAACCGUAAUGCCAUUAAUUUGGUGUUACGGGGAAUUAGGACUGUUACCUUGAAAAAAUUAGAGUGUUUAAAGCAGGCUCACGCUUGAAUACAUUAGCAUGGAAUAAUGAAAUAGGACAUCCGAUUCUAUUUUGUUGGUUUCUAGGAUCGAUGUAAUGAUUAAUAGGGAUAGUUGGGGGCAUUAGUAUUCAAUUGUCAGAGGUGAAAUUCUUGGAUUUAUUGAAGACUAACUACUGCGAAAGCAUUUGCCAAGGAUGUUUUCAUUAAUCAAGAACGAAAGUUAGGGGAUCGAAGACGAUCAGAUACCGUCGUAGUCUUAACCAUAAACUAUGCCGACUAGGGAUCGGAUGAUGUUAAUUUUUAAUGGCUCAUUCGGCGCCUUACGGGAAAC